rnacentral:lncRNA from 1 species
GUCCUGCUCCUAAUGUCUUCAGAAAGUGGGAUAUUGAGGCCCUGGAGCCAGACGAAGACAGCAACGCUGAGUUCGUUGCGGAGAACGAGAAAAAGGAAACAGGAAAGAGCACUGGCUCAGAGGACAUAAAAGGCUCUGACCAGAAGGCAGCCACUGACCACAGGAAUCGAAAAUCGACUAAGGAGUCCCAGACUGGCUGGUACGAGUUGGAGUUUCACCGCUGUGUGUUUAAUGUGUGGGGGAACAGUCCGCUGGUGCGGCACUACAUGGAGAAUCUCAAGAUGGAGCCCAAGGUGGGACAGGACGUCCUGGUGCGGAGGACUCAGAUCCACACACUGCCUCCAUAUCCUUCAUACGUAGCUGUGUUUACAGUCCAG